UACUGUAACGGCCGUUUGUCCAAAUUAACGGCAGGCCUGUAAUUGAUUCAAUUUUACAAAAAAAAGGACUCAAUUGAUACGCCGAAAAUGAAGAGGACCUAUUUGAAAUUCAUGACCAAAAUAGGGAUCUACGGAGACAUUAAACCUUAUAAAAAAGUAAAUGAAUAAAAAUUGUAGAAAGAGAGAGAAAGACAAAGGAAAGCACACAGAGAAAGGAAAUUGAGAGAGACAGAGAGAGAGUCGGUUUCUAAAGUUCAUCCAGUAUAAAAAAUGAUGACAGAAUAACAAGGAUAGUAACAAUUCCAAUAUUAAUAAAACCAUUGCCUACACUUCAAUUCUCACUCCUCUUCUCCAAAUCACAAUAAAUUCUCGCGGCAAAAACUGAAUAGCGUUUUUUAAUUCUUUUCGAGAUUCGUUCUUAGAUGGUGUUGGAUUCCACGCGAUCCGCGGCGAAUUCCCCUUGAAGAGAAACCCUAACCACUACCGGUAUCGGGGUCGUUCGAUCGGCAAUUGCUGCGGACGAGCAACAGCAGUAGCAAUAGCAGCAGCCGAUCUCACCUGCACAGCCGCCUCACGCGCAAGGGCUUGUUGGUUUGGCUCUUCCCCUUCUCCAAGUCCAAGUCCGGAUUGUAUGCCCUCAUUAUUGUCGCCGUGUUCCUCUUCGCGUUCGCCUCCAUGGUUAUGCAGAACUCCAUCACCUUCGUCUUCCGCCAGCGCGCCGAGCGAGGCCGUUACCGCCUGGAAGGGCUUCGCUUCGGGACCACGCUCCGCUUCGUGCCUGGGAGGGUUUCGCAGGGGUUCCUCUCUGGCAACAGACUCGAUCGGAUUCGCUCCCAACCCAGGCUUGGCGUUCGCCCGCCCAGGAUAACUCUCUCUUUUAGGGUUCGCAGAUUUUGACGACACAUGGGGCAGGUCUGAUUGGUGCGUAGCCAGGGCGUGAUACAUUUUUGAUGAAAGAAGUGUUGACAUGGAAGUGUGUAGCACUCCGCAUUAAGAUCGAAUUCAUCCAAACAUAUGCAACAACAACACUCAGUCCGUGAUACCGUAGAUUUCUUCAACAACGUGUCAAUGGCUUCUUCGGAUGCCACAACCGUUCUUAAAGGAUCUUGUGUUGCUGCAUGCAUGUUGUUAUCAGUAACAUUGAUCACAAUCCAUAGAGAAACUUCUUGGUGUUGAGAUUCCGAAGAAGAAGCCGCAGCAGCAGCAUCGAUUUGGAAGAUUUCUCGAAUUUGAUUAGCAGUGACGUUUACUAUUGUUUGAAUUAUGUGAGUGCAGAAAGGUCUAAACGAUAACAGUGGCGAUAACAGUGUCCUCAAGAAAUCUGAACCUUCUUGGAAGAAGGUUUGGCUCGUUAUAAGAGUAGAAGAGAGACUUACUGGAAGUGAAGUACUUUCAUAAAAAACUCUAAUGUUGAAUCUGAAAAGAGCUCCAGGCAUCAGAACACUGAUAUCAUUUUCUCCAAACAGAGAUAUGUUGUGAGAAAAACGUCGAUUCAUCCUCAAUGUUAUCAUGCUGUAGCAGUGACGUGGUCCUGAAUAUAGCAUAAAACCAUAUGAAAUCUUAAAUUAUGAGAUUAUUGAAAUCAAUAUAAAUGUACUUCUGAAACUUACUUGGUAUUUCUGAUGCUAAGCCUGUGAGUAUGCUUUCUAUUGAUGAGAAAUCCAUGACUGAUCUUCGUUUCUGAACCGGAAAAGCUAAGUAUGAUCUUUUCUCUUUCUCAAUAUUCUCAACAAAUUAGCUUUCUAU